GUCCCCUUCGUCUAGUGGCCCAGGACACCGCCCUUUCACGGCGGUAACAGGGGUUCGANUCCCCUNGGGGACG
rnacentral:tRNA from 1 species